UACGAAGGGGGCUAGCGUUGCUCGGAAUCACUGGGCGUAAAGGGUGCGUAGGCGGGUCUUUAAGUCAGGGGUGAAAUCCUGGAGCUCAACUCCAGAACUGCCUUUGAUACUGAAGAUCUUGAGUUCGGGAGAGGUGAGUGGAACUGCGAGUGUAGAGGUGAAAUUCGUAGAUAUUCGCAAGAACACCAGUGGCGAAGGCGGCUCACUGGCCCGGUACUGACGCUGAGGCACGAAAGCGUGGGGGAGCAAACAGG
rnacentral:rRNA from 1 species